rnacentral:rRNA from 1 species
GUGGCGAACGGGUGAGUAACACGUGAGUAACCUGCCCUUAACUCUGGGAUAAGCCUGGGAAACUGGGUCUAAUACCGGAUAGGAGCGUCCACCGCAUGGUGGGUGUUGGAAAGAUUUAUCGGUUUUGGAUGGACUCGCGGCCUAUCAGCUUGUUGGUGAGGUAAUGGCUCACCAAGGCAACGACGGGUAGCCGGCCUGAAAGGGUGACCGGCCACACUGGGACUGAGACACGGCCCAGACACAUACGGGAGGCAGCAGUGGGGAAUAUUGCACAAUGGGCGCAAGCCUGAUGCAGCGACGCCGCGUGAGGGAUGACGGCCUUCGGGUUGUAAACCUCUUUCAGUAGGGAAGAAGCGAAAGUGACGGUACCUGCAGAAGAAGCACCGGCUAACUACGUGCCAGCAGCCGCGGUAAUACGUAGGGUGCGAGCGUUAUCCGGAAUUAUUGGGCGUAAAGAGCUCGUAGGCGGUUUGUCGCGUCUGUCGUGAAAGUCCGGGGCUUAACCCCGGAUCUGCGGUGGGUACGGGCAGACUAGAGUGCAGUAGGGGAGACUGGAAUUCCUGGUGUAGCGGUGGAAUGCGCAAAUAUCAGGAGGAACACCGAUGGCGAAGGCAGGUCUCUGGGCUGUAACUGACGCUGGAGGAGCGAAAAGCAUGGGGGAGGCGAAACAGGGAUUAGAUACCCUGGUAGUCCAUGCCGGUAAACGUU